rnacentral:lncRNA from 1 species
CAUUCUCCGGCCAAGCCCGCUGCCUAGAGCGAGCUCCACUCCUCCAUCUGCUAGCCCGGCUCUUCGCUCCCCUGCCGGGGCCGGCGAAGCGACGUGGGGCCGGAGGGGGAUUUGCGAGGGAACCUGCCUGCUUCCCGCUCCCAUUGCUCCCUCCCCACUGCCUCCUGCCUCCUGCUUCUCUCCUGCGUCUUUCCAACUCUCCCCUGUCGCCACUGGUGUGUGUCUGAGUGUGUGCGCGGGUUUUUUUUUUUUUAUUGCUCUUUGCUUUUGCAACCCUGAAGCCAAAGCGAGGGGGUGGGGGAUAAAGGAGGGGGGGCGUUACAAAAAAAAGAAAAAGAAAAGGCAAGAAAGAAGCUCUUAGAUUUGCAACACAUUGAAAAAUCGGGGGAGCACCCUGCCUCGCUGGAUCUCGGCUUCCCGCGAGGGCCUUCCGGGUUUUAGAGCGAGCCUCUGGUUGUUCUCAAAGCCCCUCACCUCCGCCGGGUUUAGGAUCCGAGGAGUCCGAGCAAAAAGUUCUCCCCCUGGGCCGUAGCAAAGGGUGUCAGGGUGGGAGUUGGGAUUUCUCUAGAAGCAGCAGCCAUCCCCCCAACCCUGGUGUCGGUAGUUGGGCCGAGGUUAGGGUGGAGAGCAUAAUCCCGUUGGGUCUGAGCGAAGGGGCUUCCGGGGCGAAGUGGGAGCCGGGAGACCGCGCUUCGCGCAUCUCCCCCUCGGUCUCUGCCUCCGGUCCCCUGCCAGCUCCCCCUUUAAUUUUUUUUUUUUUUUCCCUCUCCUUUAAUCUAAUUUCUUCCAACUCCACCUUUGUUGUUACCGGCGUCACGCCCGGACCAGCCAAUCCCCGCCAUGCAAUCAGCUUGUCAAAAAGACUCGGCCAGCCCUGGGAAAGCAGGCCGCGGGCGCUGCUCCCCCCUUCUCCCUCCAGCGGCGGCGGGGAGCCGCGAGGGGAGCCUGGCACCCGGGCCUCGUCGCCUGAGCCGCCCCGGGGCAGCCUUCGCGUAGGCCUCCGGCACUCCACCAUCCUGCGGAGCGGGUGUCGAAGGGCCUGGGCGGGGACCACCAGCCACCCUCCCGCUGCCGUCGGUUGCGGUCGCCCGUCCCGGCCUCCCCUCCUCAGAGGAAGGGUUGUCGGGACGCUGGGAGCCAGAAGACUGAAGAACGCCUGCUUCCAACAGACGAGCCUGCGGUCUGGGCCGUCGCUCCCCGGGCAGCGCCAUGCCUCCAGGCUCCCGGGGCCCGCGGGCUGCCAGUCUCCCACCCCGACACUGCUAACUGCCCACAUCUCGUCCGACUGGGUCACCGGCCCCUUGGACUCUCCCCUGGCACACAGCUUUUUCUAUCCUCACUCAGCGGCCUCACUGCUGCUGUAAUUCCUCAUGUCUCCUGGGAGCAAUGAGAUUCCUUUCCCAGGACUUCCACAGCCCACAUCUGCCACGUUUUACAGGCAGGGAGGAAAACCCUGUCAAAGAUCUGGUGUG